GUGUAGGUGUGAUAAUGUCCUAUUUAGCUUACAAAAAAAGCAUUCAUUGAAGCUGAUGACAAACAGGGACACAGUAAAGGCUUUCCAUUUAUUGAUUGAUGGGGCCUUUAGAAUGUCUAUAAAGUGUGGUCUGAUAAUUUAAUUUUUAAUGGAAAGGAGAUAGAUCUCAACAUUCUAAAUAUUUGUUCCCCAUCAUAUUUUCUGUAUCUUCAAUCUACAAUUUUCAAAAUUUUGGACAAUACCUGCAUUUAACCCUUUUGUUCUAUCUUUGACCAGAGGAGACAAUCUUUGAAAAAAUAUUGAUGACAGAAAAUGGACACUAAUUGAUGGCAAAAGUUCAUACUGGUAUUUUGCAACGUGAGCAAAAGCCCAACAUAUUCUUCGACAAUCUUGGCAAGAAUGCUU
rnacentral:lncRNA from 1 species